rnacentral:rRNA from 1 species
UACGGAGGGUGCGAGCGUUGUCCGGAAUCACUGGGCGUAAAGGGCGCGUAGGCGGCGCGAGCAGUCGGCGGUGAAAGCCCGGAGCUCAACUCCGGGUCGGCCGUCGAUACUCUCGUGCUCGAGCACUGUAGAGGCAGAUGGAAUUCCGGGUGUAGCGGUGGAAUGCGUAGAGAUCCGGAAGAACACCGGUGGCGAAGGCGGUCUGCUGGGCAGUAGCUGACGCUGAUGCGCGACAGCGUGGGGAGCAAACAGG